AGGAAGCAGAAGGUUCCUUCUGAAGAGCAGUUGCUCUCUCAGAUUUGAGAAGCUGGAGAGAGAGGGCUGGUUAAGACCUUCUCCUGAGGGUUACCCACCUUUUUUCCUAUGCUGUUUCUUUGACCACCCACAAACCUUCUCCAUUACAAUACAUGGGAAUUGGAUCUAAUAUCUUGGUACCACCAAUAUCUUUAUGUCACCUUCAAGGAUGUCUGGUUUGCUGUCCAAAAAGUCUGCUUCACUAUCUUGUACCUGGACUCUUAGGAGAGAAAAAGGGGAAUUUUUGCUAGCCCUUAUUACCAAUCUUCUAACCAAUCAUAUUGUUCUCUUUGCCUCAGUUUUGUAAACAGUCAUGUGACCCUCCAUCCCAUGAUGCCAUCUGUGCUGUUCUGUUCUUUGUUCUGUACUUCCUAAAACCUCCCAAAGAGAAAUCCAUCUCUUCAUUGGCAGUCUGCCUCUGCUAAUAAAUGUUGUCUUACUCAUGAAA